GUUAGGCUACCUGCUCUGCAGUCACUGUGUCUCUGCUUUCCUGUCUUCUAGAAUGGCUCUUCUCCCGCUCCCAUUGCAGUACAUGAUCACUGUGUGCAGCCAGGAGGCAUGCAUGGCUCAGACCGAGGGAGAGACCCAGAGCGGGGAGCCCAGCUCUGAUGAGAAACAUCGACGGUUAACGCUUCCUGGACGCUUAGUAGGUGACAGACCCUCACUGUCCUUAGUGCUCCACGCUUCUCGCAUCUAAUCCCCACAACACUCUGACGUGGUAGGCUCAUCGCCUCGACCUUCUCCAUCCGCCCUCCACCCCCACCAGCAAGCAGUCAAGCUGAGCCCUAAGCCUCCGGGAGAGAUACCAGCCUGCUCCCCUGAACUCGGCCGAAGAAGGCACUCGAUUCCCUGUCCUCUGCCACCCCCACCCCAGCUUCCCAAGCUCAAUUAUGGCAGCUCUCUGCUCACCCAGUUACUCAGGCCAAGAACCUUGCCUUCAUCUUCUCUUUCUCUCUCACCUCAUGUCCUACCGAUCAGCAAAAUCUGUGAGCUCUCUUUAUUUUUUAAUUAUUUAUUUUUAAAGACUUUAGUUAUUUAUUUGACAGAGAGAGGGAGACAGUGAGAGAGGGAACACACGCAGGGGGAGCAGGAGAGGG